AGCCUUUAGAGAGGAUUAAAGGUUAUACCUGCCCAAUGUUAUAUUAAUGGCCGCGGUACUUUGACCGUGCUAAGGUAGCACAAUCAAUUGGCCCUUAAUUAGGGUCAGGCAUGAAUGGAGUUACGGGGCUUAGCUGUCUCUAAACUAUUUAAUUGAAGUUGCUGUAUAGGUGAAAAAGCCUAUAUUAAGAAAAAAGACGAGAAGACCCUUAGAGUUUUACUUAAAAAAGACUGUUAUUUCUUUACUAGUUUUGUUGGGGCAACAUAGGAGAAGAAUUAAACCUCCUAAAAGAUAUAAACCGAUGUUUUUAAAUAUGGACAAACUACCUUAGGGAUAACAGCAUAAUUUUAAAAGUAAGUUUGUGACCUCGAUGUUGGACUAGGGAACUUAAGGGCUAGCCGCCUUUUGGUAAGGUUCUGUUCGAACUAUAAUUCCU
rnacentral:rRNA from 1 species